GCCACGGUGGUCUAGCGGUCAGAACGCUGGCCUUGUAAUCUUGGGGUCCCGGGUUCAAUUCCCGGCGGUGACC
rfam:Zootermopsis nevadensis contig28053, whole genome shotgun sequence.